rnacentral:rRNA from 1 species
AAGCAUAUCAAUAAGCGGAGGAAAAGAAACCAACAGGGAUUGCCCUAGUAACGGCGAGUGAAGCGGCAACAGCUCAAAUUUGAAAUCUGGCUCCCCUAUGGGUGUCCGAGUUGUAAUUUGCAGAGGGCGCUUUGGCAUUGGUGGCGGUCUAAGUUCCCUGGAACAGGACAUCACAGAGGGUGAGAAUCCCGUAUGUGGCCGCCUUCCUCUGCCGUGUAAAGCCCCUUCGACGAGUCGAGUUGUUUGGGAAUGCAGCUCUAAAUGGGAGGUAAAUUUCUUCUAAAGCUAAAUACUGGCCAGAGACCGAUAGCGCACAAGUAGAGUGAUCGAAAGAUGAAAAGCACUUUGGAAAGAGAGUCAAACAGCACGUGAAAUUGUUGAAAGGGAAGCGCUUGCAGCCAGACUUGCCCGCAGUUGCUCACCUGGGCUCUCGCCCAGGGCACUCUUCUGCGGGCAGGCCAGCAUCAGUCCAGGCAGCCGGAUAAAGACCUCGAGGCAUGUAUCUUCCUUCGGGAUGACCUUAUAGGGGAGGCGUAAUGCGGUUAGCUUGGACUGAGGUCCGCGCAUCUGCUAGGAUGCUGGCGUAAUGGCUGUAAGCGGCCCGUCUUGAAACACGGACCAAGGAGUCUAACAUCUAUGCGAGUGUUUGGGUGUCAAGCCCGGACGCGCAAUGAAAGUGAACGGAGGUGGGAACCCUCUCGGGGGCGCACCAUCGACCGAUCCUGAUGUCUUCGGAUGGAUUUGAGUAAGAGCAUAGCUGUUGGGACCCGAAAGAUGGUGAACUAUGCUUGAAUAGGGUGAAGCCAGAGGAAACUCUGGUGGAGGCUCGCAGCGGUUCUGACGUGCAAAUCGAUCGUCAAAUUUGGGCAUAGGGCGAAAGACUAAUC